GAGUUUGAUCCUGGCUCAGGAUGAACGCUGGCGGCGUGCUUAACACAUGCAAGUCGAACGGGAAAUAUUUCAUUGAGACUUCGGUGGAUUUGAUCUAUUUCUAGUGGCGGACGGGUGAGUAACGCGUGGGUAACCUGCCUUAUACAGGGGGAUAACAGUCAGAAAUGGCUGCUAAUACCGCAUAAGCGCACAGAGCUGCAUGGCUCAGUGUGAAAAACUCCGGUGGUAUAAGAUGGACCCGCGUUGGAUUAGCUUGUUGGUGGGGUAACGGCCCACCAAGGCGACGAUCCAUAGCCGGCCUGAGAGGUUGAACGGCCACAUUGGGACUGAGACACGGCCCAGACUCCUACGGGAGGCAGCAGUGGGGGAUAUUGCACAAUGGGGGAAACCCUGAUGCAGCGACGCCGCGUGGAGGAAGAAGGUUUUCGGAUUGUAAACUCCUGUCGUUAGGGACGAUAAUGACGGUACCUAACAAGAAAGCACCGGCUAACUACGUGCCAGCCGCCGCGGUAAUAC
rnacentral:rRNA from 1 species